rnacentral:rRNA from 1 species
AGAGCGAACGCUGGCGGCAGGCUUAACACAUGCAAGUCGAGCGCCCCGCAAGGGGAGCGGCAGACGGGAGAGUAACACGUGGGAACGUACCUUUUGGUUCGGAACAACUGAGGGAAACUUCAGCUAAUACCGGAUAAGCCCUUACGGGGAAAGAUUUAUCGCCAAAAGAUCGGCCCGCGUCUGAUUAGCUAGUUGGUGAGGUAACGGCUCACCAAGGCGACGAUCAGUAGCUGGUCUGAGAGGAUGAUCAGCCUCAUUGGGACUGAGACACGGCCCAAACUCCUACGGGAGGCAGCAGUGGGGAAUAUUGGACAAUGGGCGCAAGCCUGAUCCAGCCAUGCCGCGUGGAUGAUGAAGGCCCUAGGGUUGUAAAGUCCUUUCGACGGGGAAGAUAAUGACGGUACCCGUAGAAGAAGCCCCGGCUAACUUCGUGCCAGCAGCCGC